AACUUUUAGCAAUGGAUCUCUGGCUCUCGCAUCGAUGAAGAACGCAGCGAAUUGCGAUAUGUAAUGUGAAUUGCAGAAUUCAGUGAAUCAUCGAAUCUUUGAACGCACCUUGCGCCCUUUGGUAUUCCGAAGGGCAUGCCUGUUUGAGUGUCA
rnacentral:rRNA from 1 species